UGGUUAGUGUGAGCAGAGAGGUGGAAUUUGUCACUUUUGGAGAAAAAGGGAAAGCCUUCAAAGAAGAAAACCUUGAACCUACAGUCAGGGCCGGCUUUAAUCUGUGCGGGGCCCUAGGCAGUGAUAAUUAAGUGUGGGGUACAAUGCUACAGUAGCAAUCAUAUAUUUUUAAUUUAAUUGACGGCAAUGGUUUUUACCCCGGUUUUCUCCCCAAUUUGGAAUGCCCAAUUGUUAUUUGUAUCCCGGGAAACGGUGGCUGGAACACAUGUCCCCUGAAACAUGCUCCUGUCCAUCUGUCAUUUUUCGCACUGCAGAUCCAGAGCGAGGCCACCAGACCUACAGUGGAGGACAAACAGAUCUGAUGGCUCCACUGCAGAACCGCAGGCGUCCUAAUGGCCACAGUGGUCGCUGGUACGCGAUGAACCUUGGAUUCCCCUGCCGACUUAAACCCUCCUUACCUGGGCGGCGCUUGGCCAAUUGUGCACUACCCCUAGGAACCCCCGAUCACAAUCGGCAGUGACAUAGCCUGGAUUCGAACCUGUGUUCUCCAUGCUAUAGGGUGCAUCCUGCACUCCAUUCGGAGCGCCUUUACUGGAUGUGCCACUCGGGAGUCCCAGCAACCAUAUCUUAAGAUCUGUAAUAUAAUAACUGGCAUGGCGUUUGCAGCGAUGAGGAAGUGCUACAGAAGUUAGUGAAUUCAGAUUCCAGACAUGAACUGGGUGGAAUACAGGCAGAGCCUUCACAGUGUGCAAGGAGGGGCGGGUCCGCUCUGCAGGAACUACGACACGGAACCCCUUGACUGCAGGACGGUGCCUGUGAAGCGGCAUAGCCAGGACCGUCACAACGACCCGGAGGCGCUGGAAGGCUGGGACUUCGGAAGCAGUAGUAUUAGGUUAGUUUAGGGGAUGUUGAUCCCAACAGUAUAGAGAGAGUUACUGUGGAGUAGUAGGUUCCUGGAGCAGGAAGUUCCUUUUCGUAGGACUAGCGCUCGGCAUUUUGUGUGGCAAACUUUUAUUUUCAGCUUUGUUUUGUUUAUUAAAUCUGACACUAGGGCUACCAUUGCUGGUACCCUAGUGGCAGUACUUGUGUUGAAAAUAAAUCUGCGUGCCUGUGUGGCGUGUCAACACCAAUGCUCUGUGUCUGCAUCAUGAUUAUUAAGUAACCAUCCACACACGUAUCACCGUUACAACAUGUAGCAGCUGAAACCCUGGACACAGACUUUGUGCGAAUCUUUUUUUCAAAAUAAAACAUAACUGAUCACUGACUGUCAGCACAAAUAA